rnacentral:rRNA from 1 species
UACGUAGGGCGCGAGCGUUGUCCGGAUUUAUUGGGCGUAAAGAGCUCGUAAGCGGCUUGUCGCGUCGUCCGUGAAAACUUGGGGCUCAACCCCAAGCUUGCGGUCGAUACGGGCAGGCUCGAGUUCGGUAGGGGAGACUGGAAUUCCUGGUGUAGCGGUGAAAUGCGCAGAUAUCAGGAGGAACACCAGUGGCGAAGGCGGUGCUCUGGGCCGGUACUGACGCUGAGGAGCGAAAGCGUGGGGAGCAAACAGG